rnacentral:rRNA from 1 species
AAUAGAUACCCGGGUAGUCCACGCCGUAAACGAUGGAUACUAGCUGUUCGGCGUACGCUGAGUGGCUAAGCGAAAGUGAUAAGUAUCCCACCUGGGGAGUACGAACGCAAGUUUGAAACUCAAAGGAAUUGACGGGGGCCCGCACGAAGCGGUGGAGCAUGUGGUUUAAUUCGAUGAUACGCGAGGAACCUUACCAGGGCUUAAAUGUAGAUUGACAGGUUUAGAGAUAGACUUUUCUUCGGACAAUUUACAAGGUGCUGCAUGGUUGUCGUCAGCUCGUGCCGUGAGGUGUCAGGUUAAGUCCUAUAACGAGCGCAACCCCUGUUGUUAGUUGCCAGCGAGUCAAGUCGGGAACUCUAACAAGACUGCCAGUGCAAACUGUGAGGAAGGUGGGGAUGGCGUCAAAUCAUCACGGCCCUUACGUCCUGGGCCUACACACGUGCUACAAUGGUAGGGACAGAGAGCAGCCACUUCGCGAGAAGGAGCGAAUCUAUAAACCCUAUCACAGUUCGGAUCGGAGU